rnacentral:guide_RNA from 1 species
AUAAACUACGGUGAUAGAAAUAGAUAUAGAU